rnacentral:tRNA from 1 species
UCGCUGGUGGCCAAGUGGUUAGGGCUCAGUGCUUUCACUGCUGUGGACCCAGGUUUGAUGCCUGGUUGGGGAA